UACGGAGGGUGCAAGCGUUAUCCGGAUUCACUGGGUUUAAAGGGUGCGUAGGCGGUUCGUUAAGUCGGAUGUGAAAGCCCUCGGCUCAACUGAGGAAGUGCACCCGAAACUGGCGAGCUUGAGUACGAAAGAGGAUCGCGGAAUUCCCGGUGUAGAGGUGAAAUUCGUAGAUAUCGGGAGGAACACCGGUGGCGAAGGCGGCGAUCUGGGUCGAUACUGACGCUGAGGCGCGAAAGCUAGGGGAGCAAACAGG
rnacentral:rRNA from 1 species